CUGAGUAGGAUGUGAGGACCAGACCUGUCAUUGCUGGAUGACUGGAGCUUUGAAGCCAUCCUGCACAUCUGACAUGGCAGAAACCUUCCCAGCAGACCUAUAAAUGGUAGUGUCCUAAGUUAUCGGGCUCAACUCUUCAAAGAAAAUCAGUGACCUAUAAAGGAACACCGACAAGUCAUCAGACUGGUAUGAUCGGCUCUGUGUAGAAGGACAAAGGUGUUGAGGAGUGCGUAUUUCCCAGAGCCUAUUUGUUCAGUACAUGGCUAAAGAAGACCAGAGGGAGGAGCAGAAGCACGUUACACAAUGUAUAUGCUUUAGCAGUGGGGACUCCUGAAGUGCAAUGGCCAUAGUAGGAGGUCUCUUUAUGCAGAAGUACAUGAAUAUCAGUUGAUACCACAGUCUUGCUUAGAAGAGGAGAAAUGUUACAUGAUGGAUACUUCCAAAUCUAAAAUCUGACUGUAAGAAAAGAAAUGUUUUCUAUGUCCUGCCUGAGAAACGUUGCGUACUUUGAAUCAUGAUUUAUCAAAAUCCUGAAUAUGUGCUCAACUUGAAGAACAGAAAUGAUCUAGCUGAAGUCAAUGGAAAGAUAAGUGCUUAUUUAACUUCUCUGCUGGACUGAGAUCAGCAAUCCCAGGACCUU